rnacentral:sRNA from 1 species
UCUGUCUGCUGUUGGCUUUGUCCGUCUGCAGCGCCGCCCCUCGGCUCCCCGCCACCGGCUCGGCCCGGAGCCCCUUCCGCUCGCCGGGGCCCAGUCCCGGAGCGCCCCGGCCCGGCUGGCUUGGGCUGCGGUCCCGGGUCCAUUGUCCGGCGGUCCGUCUGUCCGGAGGCGGGGCCCAGGGACCCAGAGCGCAGCGCAGCGCGGAGGCGCCGGAUACAGAUCACUUGGAUUCAGUCGAGUUUGCUUUGCUCCGUGGGAACUGCACCAGAGCUGGAGCUUAGCAUCUUGCAAGGAAGUAGUAACAUAUCCAGUCGUGAAACUGGGAAAGACCAGAGCUGUUGCAUCAGGGAAACAUGUCCCGUCGGAAACAGACAAAUCCAAAUAAAGUUCACUGGGAUCAAGUAUUUGCUGGGCUAGAGGAGCAAGCCCGCCAGGCGAUGAUGAAAACUGAUUUUCCUGGAGACCUUGGCAGUCAGCGACAAGCUAUCCAACAACUAAGAGAUCAGGACUCCAGUAGCAGUGAGUUCUGCACCUUCUGGUCACAGGGAAUUUGAAUUCUGACCCUUUGCUUGAACUCUGCCAGUGUCCCCUCUGCCAGCUAGACUGCGGGAGCCGGGAGCAGUUGAUCGCUCAUGUGUACCA